GGAAAGGUGACUCAGUGGUUAAGAGCACUGACUGCUCUUCCAGAGGUCCUGAGUUCAAUUCCCAGCAACCA
rnacentral:tRNA from 1 species